rnacentral:rRNA from 1 species
AUGGGGCCACUUGAUAUUUUGAAUUUUUUGAAGAAGUGCACCUUAAUCUAUCCUAAUGUUGUUAUUGUAUACAGAAUUUUGUUAACCAUUCCUGUGACGGUUGCAUCCGCAGAAAGGAGCUUUUCUAAACUCAAGUUGUUGAAAUCCUACUUGCGUUGUACUAUGAGACAAGAAAGACUAUGGAUUAGGAACAAUAGCACUCAAAAAUUAUAUCUUGGUGAAGAUUAA